rnacentral:rRNA from 1 species
UACAGAGGUCCCGAGCGUUGUUCGGAUUCAUUGGGCGUAAAGGGUGCGUAGGCGGCGGGGCAAGUCUGAUGUGAAAUCCUGGGGCUCAACCCUGGAACUGCAUUGGAUACUGCCUUGCUAGAGUACUGGAGAGGAAACUGGAAUUUACGGUGUAGCAGUGAAAUGCGUAGAGAUCGUAAGGAAGACCAGUGGCGAAGGCGGCUUCCUGGCAAGGCACUGACGCUGAGGCACGAAAGCGUGGGGAGCAAACAGG